rnacentral:misc_RNA from 1 species
UUAGUUUAUUUAACUAAUUUCAGAUUUAACAUGGUUAAAAGAGUUUAUUGCGGGCUACUGACGGGCACUGGCCAGAGGUCGAAGACCCCCGACGGUCCGGUCAAGGACGGGCCCGCCAAAGCAACAUGGUAGUUAUACAAAGGGUUGGAGAUCGGGCCUGGAAGACCCUAACUCAUUAAUGAUCCUUCCGCAGGUUCACCUACGGAAA